UACGGAGGGUGCGAGCGUUGUCCGGAAUCACUGGGCGUAAAGGGCGCGUAGGCGGGUUGCUAAGUUAGAGGUGAAAGCCCAGGGCUUAACCCUGGAAUUGCCUUUAAGACUGCAUCGCUAGAAUCGUGGAGAGGUGAGUGGAAUUCCGAGUGUAGAGGUGAAAUUCGUAGAUAUUCGGAAGAACACCAGUGGCGAAGGCGACUCACUGGACACGUAUUGACGCUGAGGUGCGAAAGCGUGGGGAGCAAACAGG
rnacentral:rRNA from 1 species